AACUGAACGUGUAAGAAAGCU
rnacentral:misc_RNA from 1 species